rnacentral:tRNA from 1 species
GGUAGAAUGGCUGACGAUAAGCAAUAAAUUGUAAAUUUAUUAAUGAAAGAACUUUCUUCUACCA